rnacentral:rRNA from 1 species
UGAGGAAUAUUGGUCAAUGGACGCAAGUCUGAACCAGCCAUGCCGCGUGCAGGAAGACGGCUCUAUGAGUUGUAAACUGCUUUUAUACGAGAAUAAACCUGGAUACGUGUACCCAGUUGAAGGUAUCGUAGGAAUAAGGAUCGGCUAACUCCGUGCCAGCAGCCGCGGUAAUACGGAGGAUCCAAGCGUUAUCCGGAUUUAUUGGGUUUAAAGGGUGCGUAGGCGGUUUAAUAAGUUAGAGGUGAAAUCCCGUGGCUCAACCACGGAACUGCCUCUGAUACUGUUAGACUAGAGAAUGGUUGCUGUGGGCGGAAUGUGUGGUGUAGCGGUGAAAUGCUUAGAGAUCACACAGAACACCGAUUGCGAAGGCAGCUCACAAAGCCAUAUCUGACGCUGAGGCACGAAAGCGUGGGGAGCAAACAGGAUUAGAUACCCCCGUAGUCC